UUGUAAAAUGAAAUUAAUAAAUAAAAAUUGUGGUGGGUGGAUGUCGAACCCUGGUCCCUUGGUUCCUAAAUCAUCAUAUAAUAAAAAACACAUAAAAAAAAAUAAAUAAGCAGGGAAAAAUUUAUCACUAAUUUAUCACCACGAUCUUCAAUCCACUUCAAGGAAAAAUUGAAUUCAAACCCUAGAAAAAAAAAUCAAUGUUCUUCUAACUUCUUCAAACCAUUCCCAGCAAACAUUGAACUCAAACCCUAAGAUUCAAAAUCGAUCGUCUUGUGGCUUCAAACCCAAAGGAAUCUCGGUCCUCUGUAAUCAAACUCAGAGCAAACGGAACUCAAAGAGGUUGAUUCCCAGAUAAAUUGAAGUUAGAGCAAUCGGAACUCAGAUAAGUUGUUUCCCAGAUUAAUCGUUCAACUCGUCUUCUCCAAUCACACUCGGCAAUUCUAAUAUCCAAGAACCCAUAAACCACUUUGAACCCUAACCCAUAACCCAAAAAUCAUCUUCUCUCCAAGAACCUUAAUCCAAUAACCCACGAAUUUAACCGUCAAUAGUCGUACUCGUUCGCCGCCAUGCUUUCACAACUCAAACUGCCGUCAUUAAGGGGUCAUUGAGAAACUGUAAGCCACUAGACAACAUGACAUAUAUUGAUCCAACUGUGUAUGCGAGCUAUUACUGAGUAUGCAUAGCAGUGGAGUCACUCUCUGAUUCACUCAAACGGGUAUGUUAUUGACUGUGAAAUGUUUUGUUGAUAUAUUUAUUCCUUUUUUGCUGUCUCAAAUCAUGAGAGUUACAUGAGAGUUCAUAGUAGUCUAUGGUUUAUUUUCUAUUUAUCUGCAUAUAUGAUAUAUGAUAUGAUAUUAGUGAAUGCACAUUUUUUUUAUAAUCUGUUAGGAUUUGGCAUUUGAUCACUUUAACUAUUAUUAUAUUCAGUUUCAAUUUCUUACUUUUGGGUUUAAUUUGUUUACCUUAUUAUUAUUUUUAUAAAAAAAAUUUGUGUUACUGAUUUUUAAGGUUUGGGUCCAAAGGAAGAAGAACACAGUAGCUUUUUCCACAAAACCAAAGCAAGUUGCAGAGUCUAGUGGAUUUAAUAAUGUGGAAAGAUGUUUCAAGAUCAGCAUUUGUGUUUAGUAUUGGAACAUUCAUUAUAAUCUCAUUUUCUUAUGCAAGGGAUAUAUCAAUUUGAGGAUUUUGCAUUUCUGCACUGCUGGGAGAUAACAUCUACAACUACCUUGUUCAAAAAAACAUCUACAACUACAACUUUCGAGAGCUACUUGCCCAUCCUAUUGUGAGUAUCUGUUGAUUUUGUUGUUUGGAAUGCCUACUCUUUCAAGUUUCUCUACUCCACUCAUCUAUUUAGGUUACUAUAUACUUAUGUAGGUACUAGGUAUGAGUUGAAGUUAUUAAUCUAGCCUUAUUCUAGUUACACUGUACAUGUCCUAAAUUGAUUAAGUUAAUGCACUCCAUUCACCAUUUUAUCUAUGUCAUAAGUUUCUCAUUAAAUUUAUUUGUGUUGUUAUAAAUUUCAAGUGUUAGAUUUGGGCUUGUUUAUUGUAGAAUAAAAGUUCGAUACAUAUUUCCAUGUCCACUUUUAGUUGAUCCUUUCCUCUAAUCAGAAGAACGACCAAAUGUAUGCAGGGGUUUUAGAUAUCCCUUUGUACUUUGAGCCUUGUUUUAAUGUACUUCAGUGAUUCCAAUUUGUCUUAGAAAUGCUGAUUUCUCUUUUACUAUCCACAUGGUCUUUUACUUCAAGGUUAUUAUUAUAUUCGGAGAACUCUUUAGUCAAGUGUUUGUUUCAAGACAUUUGAAAGUCCUGUUAUGAUUAAGCCAUGCAUUCGAGGGUUGUAGAUUGAAAAUGGAAUAAAUCUCUAUUCAGCAACAAUUCUUAUAUGCCCAGUCUCUGUCGAAGGUGCUUCAUUUGAAUCAAUAAGUUAUAUAAAUGAUGCAGCACAAACCUUAAGGUAUCCAAGUGGAGUGUAGGUGAGAAUUAAUAUGAAUGUCAAAAUGGAAGAGCUCAACUACAGUUAAUUAAUUUUGUUAUAGGUUAGUUUGUGCGAGACCGCGACCGUCGUUGUUCCAUCUCGUCGAACCUCCAUCUCCAUCCUUAUCAAUUAAGGUCUUCCUGAGCUAUUUGCAUUAUGUGCUUUGUCACGCUUGGAAUUGGAGAGUGAUGCUUUCGUAGUGUUUUUCUGCUCUUUUGUUAUUAUAGGUUUCAGUUGCACUAUUAGACAUGAGUUAUUGGAUCAAUAUGUCAUGAGCACAAGAUAUUGACUAUAUUGAGUAUAUUUUUAAUUUUUCAGGGACUACAUGAAAACAUCAGAGGUGUUGGCUUGGUUUGGGAAAUGGUAGAGGAAUGCUUAGGUUAAUUUUAAUUUGGUUGCUUUGGUGUUCUGAACUCAUCAGCUAGUUGCAAGAAAUGGUCUGUUGGGAGGUUAUUAUUCACGUUGUAGUAAACCAAUUUUGUUGUCUUGUGCUGGUUGUUAUCUUAUUAAGGUUGAGAAUCAUAUAUAGGAAGGACCUUUGUAUUAGCAUAUUAGCAUAAUUGAGUUUGUUUUGAUGGUGAUAGUUAUGUACUCAGCUUGAAUAUUGU